rnacentral:tRNA from 1 species
GAUGUUCAAGUAAAAUAAACCUAGAAAAAGAAAGAAAAUCCGGUAUUAUCCAUAAAG